rfam:Gossypium raimondii Chr03_contig_302, whole genome shotgun sequence.
AAACCAUGCAUAGGACAUUUCCUAAGUAAUUCCUUAAAUCUUUCCUAGGCUUUGUACAAUGUUUCAUCCUUUGAUUGCCAAAAAGAUGUUAUGUCAUUUAUAAGCUU